UCCCUAUGUUGCCCAGCCUGGUUUAAAUUCCUGGGCUCAAGUGAUCCUCUCACCUUGGCCUCCUAAAGUGCUGCAAUUACAGGUGUGAGCCACCAAGCCAGCCUCAUGCAUUCUUUAUAUACUCUGCAAUACAAACAGGUGAUGUCCUCAAUUCCCCCUGUGUAUGGGCUAAGCCUUCCAGGGUCAGGCCUCAUACUUCUCUGUCUGGAAUCUAAAUCCUGCUGUGGUCCUGGAGGCAACGUGGGUGGUGGAGCUUGGAGAGAAAGAUUCCUCAGGAAAAUUAGUGUUGCCUUGUGAAGUAAUUGCCUCAUUUAAGUUACUAAAAUAUUUCAUGCAGGGGAAGGCAGGUCCUACCAGAUAAGGGUGGAAAUGAGAGGUUCAGAGGGAUUUGUAGAUUCAGAGUUCCCAGGCUCUUCUGAUUUAUCUGCCAAAUGUCCCCAUCUCAUGCCAGGGGAUUCCACUCCUUUCCACCAAUGUCUUUACCUUGACAGAAGACACCUGGCAAGUUUUGAUGUUUAAUUGCCACUGUGACUUUGCUCAGCCAUAUCUACCCAGCAACUACAGGGACGAAAAGUGUGUUCAAAGGUGUCAUGAAGCCUUUUUGGUUUUUCACCCAGGUACUAAGCUGGAAGGGGAAGGCCUUCAAUGUGUCCUUCUCCCUGUAGACUCUAUGGCUGUCGGAGGCAGUGCCGUCCAAUCCCACAGCUUCAGAAUCACUAUUGUCAUUACAGCCCCACAGCUCCUUGACUGCUGCCUGUUUUAUGCCACCACAGGUUUUCUGUCCCCACAUUUACUCAUCAUCUGAGAAGAAGGCAGUUCUCUUGGUAAGAAAGAAAUGAGAAAGUGCACAUAUAGUCGUUCCUAGCACUUGUAAUCUUUGUUUAAAACUGCAUUUUGUGUUUUUUUUUUUUUUUUAAUUACGAAAUGUUACUUAAUCAUUAUUGAAAACUCUUUUUUUUUUUUUAUUUCUGAGACAGGGUCUUCUUGCUCUGUUGCCCAGGCUGGAGUGCAGUGACACAAUCAUAGCUCACUGCAGCCUUGAACUCCUGCGCUCAAGCAAUCCUCUGUCCUCAGCCUCCUGAGUAGUUAGGACCACAAGCACAUGC
rnacentral:lncRNA from 1 species